UACGGGGGGUGCGAGCGUUGUCCGGAAUCACUGGGCGUAAAGGGCGCGUAGGUGGCCUGAUAAGGGUGUGGUGAAAGUCCGGGGCUCAACCCCGGAUCGGCCGUGCCGACUGUUAGGCUAGAGUACUGUAGGGGCAGGCGGAAUUCCGGGUGUAGCGGUGGAAUGCGUAGAGAUCGGGAGGAACACCAGUGGCGAAGGCGGCUACCUGGACCAGCACUGACACUGAGGCACGAAAGCGUGGGGAGCAAACAGG
rnacentral:rRNA from 1 species